CCUCUACUUCACAAGAACUCUUGGUAAAAUUACAGAGUUCUGGUUCCAUCUACCUACAGAGAGUUCAUAUUCACUGGGGAUCUCUUUGGCCCAGCUUAAGCCAGAUUGGCUGGGCUCAGCUGGGUGGUUCUUCCCCGGAUCUCCCAUGCAGUGGUGGUUAGCAGUCUUCAGGGAUGCAGUGAUCCGAAAGUUCAGUUGGCCUGGACAUCCAAGAUGGCCCGCUCAACUGGCUGACAGUCAGAGGUGACUGUUCGCUGGGAGAUUCUGAAUCUGAACCAGACUGAGAUGGAGAUCCUGACCCAGACAUCUGCCAAUCUUCACUGCACUGGGAAGACUGAGAUGAGACAAAGUCCUUACCAUUAAAAUAACUUCUAACCUGUUAUGGAGAGACAGUCAUGUCAACCAAUAAAUACCACUCUGGGCAUAUUUAAGAUAACUGAACUAGGAGUAUGCGGAGCACUGAAGAUACAAACAAGUCAGGUACAGUAAUCGGGGAACAUUUAGAAGAAAGUGAAGAUGAACUAAUCCCUUAGGAAAGAAGAAUUAAGCAGAGGAGUAUCAUUUUAAUUGCUUACAAGCUUCUUGAGGGUACUGUUUAUUUUUCCCAGCAUACCUUACACAGGUGGGCACUCAGUAAAUACCUGAAAAGUAAAUGGACGGAUGAUUGAAUUUGGGAACUAUCAUGAGCCUAUAUUGUUAAUUAUAUCUUGAUUAGUCAUAAAGUAGCUAGUCAAAAUUCCUUGUUAAUAAAUCAAAAUUCUUAAGUGAAUGUAGGAAUCUUCCUUUCAUACUCUCCAGGCAAAAGUUGGCUGGAGAUAAAAGCUAACAGCCUGAGCCUAGACUACUCUAAAGGCAUAGGUUUAUUAUUAGAAUGUCUUCACCUUAGGUAUUAAAAGUAUAAAGUAUUUAUUUUAUUUAGUUGUUUAUAGCAGGAUUAAGAAUAGACAAAGAAUUAACAAGGAAUGUUUUACAUACUGCCAUAGAAUGAACUACAGGAUAUAGUUAGGUAAAAAGAGCAAGAUACAGAAGUGUUUAUAGUAUGCUUCCUUUGUAUAUGAAGGGGGAAAUGUUUACACAUAAUUGCUUAUGCUUCUGAAAAAAGCAAUAAUGGCAGCAUAAAACAACAAUUAAAUUAAAAAUGGUAACCUACAAAGGGAGGGAAGGGAAGAAGGAAGAGGGAACAAGGAUUGAAAUGAGUUGUCAGUUUCUGAAUUAUGUACAUGCUUUACAUAAUUUAUUUUAAAAGGAAAUCCUAACAAUUGAGAGAAAAUAUAUAUAGGUUCGGGGGGGGGGGGAUCUAUAUUCAGACAUAAAAUUCUGAGCGAAAAUAGGUAAAAAGCCUCUCCCUAAUGAAGUAAUUCUAUUUCAGCCCACAGCUGCAUAUGCUCUUUCUAGAAUAAAAAUUAAACAUGGCCUAACUUGAUAAGUUUUCAGUGUUUCUGUAACAAAGGUCAAACACCUAUGAGGUGCAGGAAUUUGUCUCUGCCAACCUAUCUCCAGCCACUUUCCCACUUAAACCCUUAGUUUUAGUGAUGGCAAACUACUUGUAAUUCUCUGUGAGUUUCUCUUCCCACUUUCUGCUCUUGCAUAAUUACUUCCCUUUUUUUCCCCACUAUAUAAUUUCUACUUGAGCCUCACUUCAUGGGUACUUCUCCAACAAAUCUCUCUUGACUCCAACAUUAAAUCACCUGAACGUUAAAUCAGGAAUACUUACCUCAGCAUUCCCACAGCAUCCUUACCUAUUACUAUCUUGCCCAUACACACAUUAUAUAAUAAUCACUGUAGUUUUCUGUUUUCUUUUGUUUUUUUGGUAUCCUAACCUUUGGUAUUCUACCAUAUGUUCCUGGAGUGCUGGAAUUCUUACUUGUUCU